UGAAAGUUCUCUUCCCACUUUCCUGGUGGGAAAACAGAGUCCUAGGCAAAAGGAAGUGAGUGAGUCCUACUUGGUCAGUGCCAAGUAGAACCCAAGAGUCUGGAUGUCCAGUUCGAGGAAAGUCCCCAGACCCCAAAGUCAAUGGUGUCUUCAGGGGUCGGGGCUCCCUCACCGCUUCUCUGCCAGGAGCUUCUCCUCUAAGAGCUGCUGCAUCUUCUCCUCGAUCUGCCGGAGGUUGCUAUGGAGGCCCCCACUGGGAGGGGGCUGCUCACUCUGAUUGGCCAGUGUCUGCAGGUGGUUCUCGUUCUCCUCCAGCAUUUCCAGGGUUUUCUUCUUCUCUAUGGAGAGUUCCUGGCAUGGAGGGAGGCAAGGAAAAGAAAAGCCCAAUUUAGGUUCUCCAUCGUGGCUGCCCUCACCUGCUUUUCCGUUUGGGGGAGUGACCCACUCCUCUCUCAGUCCUCUAUGGCCGCUGAAAUGUCUUCAUUCUUCUCCAGAGCUAAAAGGCCCAGAUCUCUCCCACAACAGGGCAAGGUUACUCCUCCAUCAAGAGUCAUAAAGGAACCCAAAGUGCCUUCCAGUGGAGACGGCACCUACUAGAACGGGGUCGCAUGAUCUUCUGGGGUCCUGGUUCCUCCAGGGGUGAAUGAGGAGACAUAGUGGGCUUACGUGAAAAACACCCAACAGGAACCAGCCCAAGAGCAUAUUUAGAUGCUCUCACAAACAGAGCGAGGCUGCAGUGAGCUAUGAUUGCACCACUGCAUCCCAGCCUUGGCAACACAGCUAGAACCUGUCCCCAAACCACCCCCCACCCCACCUCCAAAAAAAAGAUGUCCUCUCCAUUUAUCAGACUGGGAUCUUGUACUCAAUGGCAUUACACAGAAGCAGAGUUGAAAAUAUCCAUGGGAACCACCUCCCAUGAUGUGAAACAGGGAAAGAUAAAUGAAUAAAGGCCCCA
rnacentral:lncRNA from 1 species